AUUGCAUCAUGACAAAAAACCCAGCCUUAUGCUCACUACCAGUUACACUCAAACCAGCAGGAGACUCACAGCGCGGGGUGUAAACACAAUGUCACCGCAAAUUCACCACAACGUCAAUGUCUACUUUACUGUCUCUAUAAAAUGACCGACUGGCGGAGAAUCCACACCUAAACGAACGUUAAGGACCGGAGUCAAAGAGAACAGAAUAAUGAGUGAUGUGGUAACCGGAGCUGCUCUCUGCUUCUCUAGUCAUUGCCUGAUCGCAGAAGCCCGGGGCCUGUUCCAGGGAACUCGGAGCACAAGGCGGGGUACACCCUGGACACGGUGUCAAUCCAUUGCAGAGCACGCACACACACGCAAUGGGCAAU